rnacentral:rRNA from 1 species
UACGCAGGGUGCAAGCGUUGUCCGGAAUUAUUGGGCGUAAAGAGCUCGUAGGCGGUCUGUUGCGUCGACCUUGAAAACCCGGGGCUCAACUUCGGGCUUGCGGUCGAUACGGGCGGGCUAGAGUUCGGUAGGGGAGACUGGAAUUCCUGGUGUAGCGGUGAAAUGCGCAGAUAUCAGGAGGAACACCGGUGGCGAAGGCGGGUCUCUGGGCCGAUACUGACGCUGAGGAGCGAAAGCGUGGGGAGCGAACAGG